UCUUAAGAAUUCUUUUGAAGUCUAAAGUAGUAAAAUUGAAACUUAAAAAUUUUGGCAGUAUUCAAUUUUUUAGAGAAAUAUGUAAUUUAAUCGAAAAUACACGAAAAUCUUACUUGUUUUAUUUUUUGUAUAUCUCCGUUGACAGAUUUUUAUAAAAAAUAAAAUAAUUUUCUAUAAAUAAAAUAUAUGACAUCAGGUCAAGGUGCAGAAUAAAUAAGUUAUUAUGUAUUACAUUCAAAUUUAAUUGAGAUGAAUAAGUAAUUGGAAAUAUUAUUUUGAAAAUGAAUUUAUAAGUAAAAUAAAAGAAUAAUUUUAUUUGAAAUAUUAUUGAAUAUG
rnacentral:rRNA from 1 species